GCUCAGUAAGGAAAUUGAUUCUCAUAACAUGUCAAUCUGAUAGCCUCACAGUUAUGGAGGCGAAACUAUGAGGAUAACCCAAUUUCUAGAGCAUGCAGCACAUGCUAAUCAAUGCUGGAUUGUCACUUUGCUUGGGCCUAUCUGAAGUGGGAGUGCAAAGUUCUCAUGCCGGAUUAUGGAGAAUCCAUGAAGGACAAGACAGCAACCUGUAUGUCAUCUCAGCGGAGACAUCCAAUCACACUGCCCUGGAGAAACACCUUCUGAG